UAUAGAGCAAAGAUCUUGAGAGUGAGAGAGAGGGAAGACACAAUUUGGAGAAGAAGAAAAAUGGAAAAGAAAGCUAGCAAGGAGAUCAAGCAAUUCAUCUAGUAAGAAGAAAGCAAGAAAGUAAGAAGGUAUACAGAACUUCAAACCCUAAGACUAGUUCAUUUGAUAGCUUAUGUUUAAGCAUGUUUAUUGUGGGAGUUGAUGUUUGUGAUGAGGAUCGUGGUGGAUUCGACAGUAUAAGGUUGGUUGUGAUGGAGUUAUGUGCUUGUUUUUUGUUAACAUGCAUGAAAAAUCAAGAAACAUGAAAGUUAGACAAAAAAUGCAAAACCUAAAAACAAAGCAUGAAAAUCGAAUGACCAUAAUUCUCAUUCUAUUUCGAAUUUUUGAGUGUGGUUACUUUCUAAGAUAGAUAUAUGAGUCCUCUAUACACUUCAACAACAAUUUCAAUAAAAUACCAUGUAGAUUAUUUAUGGUGAUUUUUCUACCAAAGUAGGACAAAACUAAAAUUCUAUAAAAGUAGUCUGCCUAAUUUUUUGAGGACCGGUUUCGGGUACUUAACCAGUGAGAAAAAUUAAGGCCUUUUGGGUAAUGAAACUAAAUGGUAUAACGAAACUCCUGUCCGAAAAUGAACGAAUUCUGACUUCAGAUGAGUGAGAUAUGAUCAAUCAAAAAUUAGAGUUUUAAAAACUAAAAAUGCUAUAACUUGAGUUCUAUAACUCAUAUGGUUAUGAAAUACUGAGAUAUGUGUAAGAUCUAACCAAAUUUGUUGAUUUUUGAAAUUAAGUUCGAUAUAGCAAAAUUUGCCAAGUUUUGAGCAGAAAUGACACUUUUAAAAAUAUUAAAUAAAGUUGAAAAAUUAUAAUAAAAUUAUUUUUACGUGGGGAAUGUUUUUAAUUAUGUGGGGCCUGAAGGAAGAAAAUAAUAAAAUGGUUAACUAGGUUUAAUGAAGAAAAUAGAGUUAUGAAAUAGUAAAACAAUUAAUUAAAGUAAAGUCAGAAAUUAUUAAUAAAAUUUCUACCGGCUAAAGUAUGUCAACAUGGGACAUCUGAGACUAAGUAAAGAUUAAUCAUGUAUUUUUAUAAAAAUAUUAUGUAAAUAACGUGAGUGGACGUUUACGUUUGAUUUAAGUCGAAAGAAAAAUUACUGAAUUAUGUAACGAUUAACUUUGACAAUAAUUAUUAAAGUAACGAUUAACUUACUAAGUGAGUCCUCAUGAAUAUUAUAGGUAAACAUUUGGAAAGGUUUAUUAGCGUAACCAAUGAAGAGUUGCAUAAUUUAAGCAAGUUCUAACUUACAUAAAUUUUAUAUAUUUGUAAAUUUUAUAUAUUUGUGCAAGUUCUCUAGCUAGUUAUUUAACUGUUCAAGUUUAAUUAUGCGGAAGUUCCGCACUUCAGUGCCUUUGAAAUUUAUUGUUCUAUUAUGAACUGUUUAAAAAUAUGAGUUGAUGUCAUUUGUUUCGGCUAGACACUUUGUUAAUGAUAAGUUUUGAAUUAAUAAAUUCUUUAAAAUUGAUUAAAGUUUAAUCCAAUCCAAAUUAUUUUGGUACGAACUCUUAUUAUAAGAUUGAGUUGAACAACCCUGAUAAAGGUGUAAUUUAUGUCGGGCAACCGACUUUGCGCCCGCAAGACUUGAAUGUUAUGCAUAACAUAUGGUACAAUAGGUUGACCCCCUUAUGUACUUGCAGAUAGUGUUUUUCAGUCUUUGUAAUUGAUAAAUACUCUGAAGGUUCUCAGUUGAUUGACGGUUAAACCUUGUAAAGAGUUCAUGGUUCUUUAUGACCAUUCAGUAUAAAAGUAAAUAUUCUCAUUUAAAGAAAUUGAUUUAUUUCCUAAUUAUUCAUACUAGCUCAUAAUUAUUGAACAAUCGUCAAAGAUUCCAAAAAGUUAUGUUUUUAUUCGUGAUUUCUUGUUUAUAUAAUGUCUUAAACUUGUUGAGCAAAGAAGUUACUCACCCUUGCUAUGCUAAUAUGUUUUCAGUUAAAAUUGAAGAUUCAGCAGGAUCGAGUAAGAAUAAAGAUAAAGAAAAAAUCCUAGAAUAGAAUUAACUUAUGUAUUAAGUUAUUAUAGUUGAUGUAAUAGUUGAUAAUAUUUAUGUCUUGUAUAUGUAAGGUUAAGAAACAUGGGGUAGCAUAAAG
rnacentral:lncRNA from 1 species